CACGAUCAUGUUGAUGGUCCCACUGGACCCAUCAUUCACUGGCCUCGCUCCCGUUCUCCUGAGUGUUUGCGCUGCUGGGUUCGGCUGAGGCCUUUGUCCCUCUGGUUUCUUCACAAAGUUCUUGAGGUGUCCCCUCUUUAUCAGCCUCUCGAUCUCAGUAAUCAACUGGAAGCAGUUAUUGGUGUCGUGGCCAUGUGUGCGAUGAUACUGACAGUAUUUGUCAGGAUCUCACUGGUCUGCUUCCGUUCUCAUAG
rnacentral:lncRNA from 1 species